UGGUCAAGUUAUUAAGGGUGCAGGGCGGAUGCCUUGGCACUAGGAGCCGAUGAAGGACGUGAUAAGCUGCGAUAAGCUUCGGGGAGUUGCACGUAAACUUUGAUCCGAAGAUUUCCGAAUGAGGAAACUCACUUAGAGUAAUGUCUAAGUAUCAUUAAGUGAAUACAUAGCUUAAUGAGGGGAACUCAGGGAACUGAAACAUCUAAGUACCUGAAGGAAGAGAAAGAAAUUCGAUUCCGUAAGUAGCGGCGAGCGAACGCGGAUUAGCCCAAACCAAUAAAGUUUUCUUUAUUGGGGUUGUGGACAUAUCAUAACGAAGAGGUAUCGUAAUUGAAGAGGUUUGGAAAGACCCACCACAGAAGGUAAUAGU
rnacentral:rRNA from 1 species